UUUUCUGUUCUUGGACAUCAAAGCUGGGGCUUAGGCGCUGUGCUGGGGUCGCGGCGGCGCGGGCGCUGGGGGAGAGGAGCUUUUCUGCCUCAUUCACCUGCUUGUCCAGAAUUUGCUGGCAACUUUGGGAAUAGAGCCUUUCCUUCAUUCUCAGCCUUUACCAAGCAGGUCUAAGUUAGACCUUCGAUGCCAAUCCCCACUUCCCUCCAGCACUCACACACCCUGGGAUGUCUGGGGAGAGGAGGCCCGCUCCGGGCUCCCGUGUGGUCAAGCCCCGCCGGUUCUCCCAUUCUGGGGUACAGAAGUGCCCAUAAACACUGUCCUUGCCUGGAUCUCUGAGUGCCCUCAAAUCCCCUGAGGCAGAGCUGGGCCCUGGCCUUGGGGCACAGCAGUUCUCUGAAGACCAGAUGGGCCCCAUCAGGGUGCAGCAUACGGACCCACGGAACCAAGCACCCAGGCUCUACUCCGAUGCCAAAUAGUGGCUGGUGGCUGCCGUGCGGUGCACCCCAGAGGAAGAGGGGAAGCUGAGAUUUGGCAGAAUCUGGGAUUCAGUCGAGGGGACCUGUGUUUGAGGCCAGCUCUGCUGUGCACCGCGUGACCUUCACUGCAUCUCAAAGGCUCCCGAAGGCCCCACUUCCUCAACCAUAAGACUGGGGUCAGCAAAUACCUAGCCCACCCAUCCUCAGGACGAUUGUGAAGCCGACUAGAGUAACGACGUGAAUCAGCUUUCUAAACACCACGAUGCUAUAAACUGUGGUCUUCAGCAUAGAGUGAGCUUCUAGUGACACGAGCUGGAGGGAAAGAGGAAGUGCAUCAUGACAGCUCGUCCAGUGGACAAGGAACGUGUGAACAGAGGAAACCCGUGCCCUUUCCCUGGGCAUAGCCUAGAAAGUGUCAAGACCCCAGACUCAUCUCUAUUCUCAACGUGGUGCUGGAGCAGAAGCAAUGCUUUGAUGGUUGUUUCACAGCCCAGAGUAUCGUAAGCAAAGGGAGAGUGAUUUCCCUUACUCCCCGAGAGAAGUGGGCUGAAAAGGAGGAGUGUUUAACGAAAGCUACUCAAAUGUGCUUACAUGUGACAUUUGGAAAGAAUGGCCUCUGAAACCUGCAGUCCUGCCCCUGGC